UGCAGAGGGUGCGAGCGUUAAUCGGAGUUACUGGGUGUAAAGGGCGCGUAGGCGGCAUGAUGUGUGUGAUGUGAAAGCCCGGGGCUUAACCCCGGAAUUGCACCUCAAACUACACGGCUAGAGCAUUGGAGAGGGUAGCAGAAUUCAUGGUGUAGCAGUGAAAUGCGUAGAUAUCAUGAGGAAUACCAGAGGCGAAGGCGGCUACCUGGACAAUUGCUGACGCUCAGGCACGAAAGCGUGGGGAGCAAAAGGG
rnacentral:rRNA from 1 species